rnacentral:rRNA from 1 species
CAAUAGCGUAUAUUAAAGUUGUUGCAGUUAAAAAGCUCGUAGUUGGACUUCUGCGGGUGGCGGCCGGCCGUGCUCGAAACGGGCGUGAACUUGGCGUGCUGCCCGCAUCUUUGGGGAGAUUGUGCGUGGCAUUAAGUUGUCGUGCAUGGGAUUCUCAUCAUUUACUGUGAAAAAAUUAGAGUGUUUAAAGCAGGCCUUUGCCUUGAAUACAUUAGCAUGGAAUAAUAAGAUAGGACCGUUGUCUAUUUUGUUGGUUUACAGAUGUCGGUAAUGAUUAAUAGGGAUAGUUGGGGGUAUUCGUAUUCAGUUGUCAGAGGUGAUAUUCUUGGAUUUUCGGAAGACGCACGACUGCGAAAGCAUUUACCAAGGAUGGUUNCAUUA